rnacentral:snRNA from 2 species
GUCUCUUUGGAGAUAUCCGAUAAAAUUGAAAAGAUACAAAGAUAAUUAGCAUAGCCUUGCGCAAGGAUGAUACACAAAUCAAAAAAUGGUCCAAUUUUUUU